rnacentral:lncRNA from 1 species
AUGAGGGUGGUGGUGGAUAUUCUGGGAAGGAUUCCCCCGGGGGAAGACGUUCUCCAGGGACAACCUCAGGGAGACAUCCUUCAGGGGGGACAUUCUCCCAGGGGGAAGGGAUAUCGUGGGGGCUCCUGGGGGGGACAUCCCGGGUGGGGAGCAUCCUCCUGGGAGGAAUCACCGGCGGGCAGGGCCGGGGGAGACACCUGGGAGGAAUCUCAGCCGGAAGGGGGCGGGCGUCCUCCGGAGGGAUGCUCCGGGAGUGGGGACAUCCUCCCGGCGGAGGGCGGCCUCGACCCGCCCCGGCCCCGCCCACAGGCCCGCCCCGCCCCGCUCCCCAGGCCAGGCCCCGCCCCUCGCCCCGCCCACCAGCCCGCCUCGCUCCUCCAGGCCUGCCCCGGCCCCGCCCACAGACUCGGCCCCGCCCCUCGCCCCGCCCACCAGCCCGCCUCGCUCCGCCAGGCCUGCCCCGGCCCCGCCCACAGGCUCGGCCCCGCCCACAGGCUCGGCCCCGCCCACCAGCCCGCCUCGCUCCUCCAGGCCUGCCCCGGCCCCGCCCACAGACUCGGCCCCGCCCCUCGCCCCGCCCACCAGCCCGCCCCCGCCCCGCCCCCCGGCCUGGGCCCGCCCCCGCGCUUCCUCCCUCGCUCACUUUCGCUUCCGCCCGAGCGCGGAGCCGCCGCCGCCCGAGCAUGGACGACCCCGACUGCGACUCGACCUGGGAGGAGGACGACGAGGAGGACGGCGAGGGCCCGAGCGCGGCGGGCGACGAGGACGGCGAGGCCGGCGCCCCGGGGGACGCGGACGCGGAGGACGAGGACGAGGACGAGGAGGACGCGCGGCCGCCGCGGCCCGGCGCGCUCCAGGUGCAGCCCCGCCCGCGCCCGCAGCCCCCGCCCCGCCCCCGCCCCGCCCCGCCCCCCAGCCCCGGCCCGGCCCGGCCGCGGGACCGAGCCGACCCUCGCUCGGGGUGCCGCGGGGACCCCCGGCCACCUGCCGCCCCGGCCCCGGCGCCCCCGCCCCCGCCGCGGCCCCGCACGGCUCCCCGCAGGCCCCGCACUUGCCCGAGCUAGGCCUGCACCGGCCCGGGCUGACCUGGGGCUGCCGGUGGCUGUCGUUACCAGCUGA